rnacentral:misc_RNA from 1 species
UUUCCGUAGGUGAACCUGCGGAAGGAUCAUUAUUGUAUAACCGAGGUGCGAGGGCUGUCGCUGACCCGAAAGGUCGUGCACGCCCGAGUGCCCUCACACACAUCCAUCUCACCCCUAUGUGCACCACCGCGUGGGUCCCCCUUUGGCUUGUUCGGAGGGGGGCUUACGUUUUCACACAAACUUUGUAUGCAGUGUAGAAUGUAUUUUUUGUUUUUGCGAUCACGCAAUCAAUACAACUUUCAACAACGGAUCUCUUGGCUCUCGCACGAUGAAGAACGUAGC